UUUGUAUAGACAACUUUAGCAUUCAGUAGGAGUUAAAACGAGAGUUUUGUGUCUAGAUCACUGAACGUUACAGUUUUAAAAAAUGUGUUUAACAUUUCCGGCAUGAAGCAACUUUAUGACAAAUCAAAGACAUAAAUUAUGGUUGUCAGCUGCUGACAGCACUUGUAUUCUGUGACCUCAUCUGUAUACGAGGAUUCGUGUCUGUUAAUUUCUUUGAUUUUAUCAGUAUUUUUAUAAGCUACAGAUGGAAACACGUGACACAACAGACGACUGACGCACAAGUAUGGCAGACGACAAACGUAUCUGGUCCAUCGUGUGCUGGAUGUUCUCAACCCAGCUGAUGUGCCCGGUGGCCAUGUCCAGCGAGCCGAUAGUUCUAGAAACGAACGGGUCCAACAACACAAACGUUGUGGCCAGUGAAGGCGAUCCUAUAAACAUUGUGUGCACCUCGUCUAACUGGACAGCACUCAACAAAGGGAAGAUAACUCUUGAUUGUCCUCAUAGCAUCAUCAACUCUACACAAAUUGGACGUGGUGCGGCUAUACGAGUUGAGUUUAGAGCUGAUAGGAAGAUGGAUGGACAACAUUGUACGUGUGCCGCAACGUUGCUGGACACACAGACAACUGUACAGAGUAACUUUACAUUUCAUAUCACUUGUACGUUGGAGUAGAAUUAUUUUAAAAUAUCAAAAUCUUUAUUGGUUUAUAUAUGGUGUAAUAAAACGUAAUUCAU